GAUGAAGAACGUAGCGAAAUGCGAUAAGUAAUGUGAAUUGCAGAAUUCAGUGAAUCAUCGAAUCUUUGAACGCACAUUGCGCCCGCCAGUAUUCUGGCGGGCAUGCCUGUCUGAGCGUCAUUUCAACCCUCAUGCCCCUAGGGCGUGGUGUUGGGGAUCGGCCAAAGCCCGCGAGGGACGGCCGGCCCCUAAAUCUAGUGGCGGACCCGUCGUGGCCUCCUCUGCGAAGUAGUGAUAUUCCGCAUCGGAGAGCGACGAGCCCCUGCCGUUAAACCCCCAACUUUCCAAGGUUGACCUCAGAUCAGGUAGGAAUACCCGCUGAACUUAAGCAUAUCAAUAAGCGGAAGA
rnacentral:misc_RNA from 1 species